rnacentral:lncRNA from 1 species
UGGCUUGCUCGUCUACUCGCAUCAACACAAUACAUACAUAGUAUAGCAUAAAUUAACAUCACAUCAAACAUGCAAAUAAAAUAUACAGUAAAAAUCUACACAAUACAAUGAGUUCAUUGGAACUGGAAUCAUUAAAUUUGGAGUUAUAAAUUUCAAGUUAUGAAUUUCCUAAGAUUUAAUGUGCUUGAAAUAGGAUUAAAUGAUAAAUUAAUUUUAUUACUGUUUUCAUGUCCAAACAGAGACACUAAAUGGUAGAGAAUAAUAUUACAAAAUUUUAGAAACUGGAAUGGAUUAAUUUGGAUUAGAGAUGAAUUUUCUAUGCGUUUUACAAGUUCUAGCACUAUUUUCAUAUUAAAAAUUCAUUUUCCACUAUUAUUUAACCAAUUUACAAGUUUCUAGACUGCGCAACAAUUUCUAGUAAACACAGGGGCUACGGCGCAAGACUUCCUAUGACUCAGUAAAGACCCCGAGGGGACGGUGGGUUUAUUCCAGUAAAACAUAAGGUCUCUUUUGAAAGAAGCGCACGACGAAGGGGUAUCGGUGAAUCUAAGCCGUUAGAUCUACUUUCAACGGAUGGGAUUAGAUCUAGAAUGAAACAAACCGGUACGUGUCUACAGCCGUUGGAUCCGACAUCUGUGGUCAGGGUUUAAUGAAGGCGGGUUUCAAUCACGGCCCUAUGAUCCAGAUCCUGCGGAGUAGAUUUUUAAUAGCCAGAAGGUUAUCGCCGAUAUGAUCCUGUCCAUUGAAUACUGGAUGAACGCCCUAGAUCACUACUCUGAAGCGGUAUCCGCAAAUCUAAUCUCCACCGUCCAUAACUAGAUGGACGGCCCACGGCACAACUUGCCUAUUCCUUCACCUCCCCAACUCAGGCAGACAGGUGAGGCGGCGCCGAUAGCUCCCCACGACGGGGCCAUGGCCGGCGAUGGCCAUCCCACGCAAUAGUGCUUAGAACUUUUGAACGACAGGUGCUAACCAACGCUUGGAUCCUAGCGGGUACGUUGGUAUGAAUCUUACCGGGGUUGGAAGCGCAGAGGGCACUGCCCAUGAUGACGAGCGGCUCCACGGGCCCGAAGGGUUCCAGUGAGCAAUUCCGGGUUCAUCGGUCGACGAUCAUCCCCGCCGUGACGAAGACCACCUCCCCGGACCGCCCGUGAAGGCCCCGGGCCAAUCCUUGUGUCCUAAGCGGUCCCAAACGCGUAGAUCCAUGGCGGCGGCACUGGGUUUCCUGGUGCUGGCUUCGGACGCGGUGACCGCCAGGAGGAAGAAGACGAGGGCCCCCUAGAGCGCCGAGUGGGUCUUGAGCAUGCGCGUCACGAUGUGGGAGUCCCCGGGUGGCGCGGAUUUCGGCCAUGGCGACGGCGACAUCUUGGUUUCGCCCGCCACGGCACCCAUCACAUCACGCUCGGUGCCCGCGAUAUGACGAACAGGG